rnacentral:misc_RNA from 1 species
GAAAUGCGAUAAGUAAUGUGAAUUGCAGAAUUCAGUGAAUCAUCGAAUCUUUGAACGCACAUUGCGCUCGCCAGUAUUCAGGCGAGCAUGCCUGUUCGAGCGUCAUUUCAACCAUCAAGCUCUGCUUGCGUUGGGGAUCCGCGGCUGCCCGCGGUCCCUCAAAAACAGUGGCGGGCUCGCUAGUCACACCGAGCGUAGUAACUCUACAUCGCUAUGGUCGUGCGGCGGGUUCUUGCCGUAAAACCCCCAAUUUCUAAGGUUGACCUCGGAUCAGGUAGGAAUACCCGCUGAACUUAAGC